GUCCCUUCGGGGACAUCUGAUAAAAUUGGAACGAUACAGAAUAGAUUAGCAUGGCCCCUGCGCAAAGAUGAAUUGAGAAAUGGAAAUUAAAACACCAAAAAA